CACUUCGGAGAUAGAGCGGAAGACUUUACAAAACAUAUUUUUACAAUUCCAAAUCUUAAGUUCUACAUCAUAGAAAGAGUUGUAAUUAUUACAAGUCCUGAUAGUACCCAAAGUGCAUAACUUAUUACAAUAAUUGGAAAGGUGAAGCCUUUCCAUAAGGAGUACACAUAAGCAAACUAAUCUUGAAGACCUCCACAUGAAGCAACUAAUGAAGCCAAAGACAUCAAAACCUUUCCUGCAACAACAUAGAGAAUAAAACCCUGAGUAUGCAAUUACUCAGCAAGACUUACCUGACUAAAGAAAAGACUCUCAAGGGUAUGCUGGAUUUUGGGACUCAAGGUAAAGCUUAUCAAUUAUCAAAGACCCUUUUUGGCAGAAAAGCUUACUACCAGUUGAUCCCUAAGCCAAGUUUUAUUUCACAAGUUAGGUAUUUACCUGAAUCUAGAUUUUUCCUAAUCUAGUUCAAGCACUUGGCCUAUACUAGCUGCAUUUUAUUCAUACUCAUAUUUCACUUGCUAACUACGAUGAUGGUCACCGGGAUGAGUCUCCAUAACCGAGGAGCAACGACGAUUCGAACCGAUUAUACCCAGCUGGCGAUCUCUAACCGCACGACAUAUGUAGCACUUAACCCUUGCAUAUGUCAACCGUUCCCAUGGAGUCCUCCACUACAUGAACAGGUCCGUGCCACCCGAGAGCACAUUAUCCUACCAGGCGUGCAACUAUGCGAGGAGGAUACAUGCUACUCCUGCCAUCUCUCCACUCCCAGUGCGCGAUUGUCUCUUCACAUAUGGAAUAGCCGGGUUCAAGCUUACCCUGUCCCAUACCAGGGUAUGUGGCUAGUUGCAAAGUCUCAACCACAACAGGCCAGUCAACGGUACGAUCCUUAAUCAACACAGACGGGCGACCAUGUCAGCUCAGCAUCUGGUCUCGAUUUAUUCAAACCAUUUCCCCAUUUUUGGUACCCGGCAGGGGUACUCUUUUCGGAUGAUGAACCCAUCCGGAGCCCUGAUGGACUCAUCAUCAAAAGUUUGCUUUCACUUUUGAAUCAAAAGCCAUAACCAAUGUUACACAUCAUUCUUUUGAAAAACAAAUGAUUUUUGAAUUUCUAAGCAUGACUAAGCAGUAAUAAUUCUUUUGAUAAAACAUGGAUUUAGGAAUUUCCAAGGAAUGGUAAUGCAUCAAUUGUUUAUCACACAACUCCUAUCACCUAAUGCAUCAUAUUAGGUGAUAAAGCAUUUAAAACACAAGGAAGGGGCAAAUACACCGGGACUUGCCUUAUUAUAGGAGGAAAUCUGAGAUCUUCUAUUACGAUAAGCAGUUAGAUGGAAUCCACCACUGGAUCAGUAGAACUAGAACAUGCUCCUUCUUCACAAAUCACUUCUUGGUACUCUACAUGAAAUGCCAUGAUUAUGAAUGUCUGUGUAUAUGCUACUAGCAAGGAAGGUAUUAUGAAGCAUUACAAAAUUACAAUUACAAGCUAUCACAACAAGCCAUAACUACCAGGGAGCUACUUAUCCUUAGAACUCAUCUAAUCAUCCAAAACUUGCUAAGCAACUUCAUUUUACUCGAACACAUUAGAUGCCCCAAUUACCUAAGGAUGGAACCAUUCUUCUAUUUUGAGCAACAAUUAGUUUGCUAAGCAAACCACGUCCAAACAAUUCCAACUUUACCCAAGUGUUCAUAUGCUCAAGAUAAGCUUACACAAAUUUUCCUAUAAUUUUUAGUGCCCUAUUUUUAAACACUCCCAUCAUCCAAAAUUAAUCGUGGUGACCUGUAUAUCAAUAUAACCUAUCCAUACAACAUGCUAGCUAGCGGGAAUAGCAAACUAGCCAACCACGACUAAUUCAGACUCGGAAACCAUGAAACGGCGGCGAUCUCCACUUCAGCCAAAACAACGGACAACAGGUGAGCGAUGCCAUAAGCAUCGUGUAAAAUACAAUCUAAAUCAUUUCUCUAUGAGUCCACUAGGCACAAACACGAGAUAAGGAUGAUAGCACUAACCAUAACCGACUACAAUCACACAAGAACCCAUUUUUCUCGGACUUUCUCCCAUAUUUAUGUAUAUAUCCAAACCAUACCUGCUCUAACACGCGGAAAGCUGAUGAAGCGAGAGAACCACAUGAAGAAAGUACGCCGAGCACGACGACUUGCUGGGCAUGAGGAACAACGAGAC
rnacentral:lncRNA from 1 species